rnacentral:rRNA from 1 species
UACAGAGGAGCCAAGCGUUGUCCGGAUUGACUGGGCGUAAAGCGCACGCAGGCGGACGCGCGCGUGGGGUGUGAAAUCUGGCCGCUUAACGGCCAGGCGCCAUCCCAUACGGCGGGUCUGGAGCCUUGCAGAGGUCGGUGGAAUUGCCGGUGUAGUGGUGAAAUGCGUAGAGAUCGGAAAGAACACCAACGGCGAAAGCACUCUGCUGGGCCGACACUGACACUGAGAGACGAAAGCUAGGGGAGCGAAUGGG